rnacentral:rRNA from 1 species
ACUCAAAGGAAUUGACGGGGGCCCGCACAAGCGGUGGAGUAUGUGGUUUAAUUCGACGCAACGCGAAGAACCUUACCUGGGCUCGAACGACAAGUGGUAAAAGUCUGGAAACAGACGAUGACCCGCAAGGGAGCUUGCCGAGGUGCUGCAUGGCUGUCGUCAGCUCGUGUCGUGAGAUGUUGGGUUAAGUCCCGCAACGAGCGCAACCCUCAUCCUAUGUUGCCACCCCGCAAGGGAGCACUCUUAGGAAACUGCCCGCGAUAAGCGGGAGGAAGGUGGGGAUGACGUCAAGUCCUCAUGGCCUUUAUGUCCAGGGCUACACACGUACUACAAUGGCCGGAACAACGGGAUGCAAAGCCGCAAGGUGGAGCCAACCCCUAAAUCCGGCCCCAGUUCAGAUUGUGGGCUGCAACUCGCCCACAUGAAGGCGGAAUCGCUAGUAAUCGCGAAUCAGAAGGUCGCGGUGAAUACGUUCCCGGGCCUUGCACACACCGCCCGU